UACGGGGGGGGGCAAGCGUUGUUCGGAAUUACUGGGCGUAAAGGGCUCGUAGGCGGCCAACUAAGUCAGACGUGAAAUCCCUCGGCUUAACCGGGGAACUGCAUCUGAUACUGGAUGGCUUGAGUCCGGUAGGGGAGCGUGGAAUUCCUGGUGUAGCGGUGAAAUGCGCAGAUAUCUGGAGGAACACCGGUGGCGAAGGCGGCAUUCUGGACUGUAACUGACACUGAGGAACGAAAGCCAGGGGAGCAAACGGGG
rnacentral:rRNA from 1 species